AGAGAGAAAAAGAGAGAGAGAAAGAGAGAGAGAAAAUUAUCGGGAAUCACGAGAAAGCUACCUUCCGAAAAUAGGAGACAAGGUCACCCCUUCUUAAACCAUUUCCUACGUUCUCUUCCUCGCUCCGUCGCAC